rnacentral:sRNA from 1 species
UUGUUUUUGUAUUUUU